rnacentral:lncRNA from 1 species
CCAUGAAAAUAAUUUUCGAGUGCGUUAUUUCUCUCCGUGUUCAGAGUGAGUUGUGCAAGCUGCAGAGGAAACUGUUGUAUCGUUAAACCCAGUGCGACGAAAACAGCCACUCUUCCAGCAAAAUAACUACCCUCCUCCUUUCAUAAAUCUUGAUUCCAACUAGACGGAGGCCAGAAAUUGACUCUGUCUCUCACAUCAAUGGCUUAAAACUGUUGCAUCACAGUAGUAUGUUCAAAGGGAAUCAGAACUAUCCAACAACAACUUCAGGGGCAGGGAGGCAAUUAUAACUGACAGCCAGAUGUCUGGCCUGGCUGCUUUAAUACCCAUCAAGACUGCAGAUGGUCUUGAGACCUCUGCAUCCAAACAGUGAGUCCCAGUGAAUGAUAAACAACAAUACCACAAAUCAUCAGCGCAAACCAAAAAUGCUGCUGGGACUGAUCAAGAUUUCAGAUGUCAAGAGUUGGCCACCUUCUCUCCCUUCUUCUCCCCCUCCCCCACGCCUGACCCCUCUCCCAAACAAAAAGCUUGUUAGUGGUGGAGGGCCCAGCAGGAAAUGUUUUUACACCCAGGGCCAAAUGCUAAUCCUUCACUGAAGCUUUUAAUAUAUUUAAAUGUUUAGAUGAAGGAGGCAAAAAACGGAUUCCAGUAGAAAUCACUUGACAUGUGGGAUAUGGAGAUUUCAUAAGUUGGUUAAGUCUAUAUUACAUUCAGUGGACUUCCUCUUCAAUUAAGGAUUACCUUAAAGGAGCACAUUCUAAUUCAAAGAGAAAGGGAAUUGGCUUGAAUUAUCCUUUAAGCAACUACCAGCAUGAAACUUUUCGUUCCUUAAAUGCGUGUUUCUGGGACAAAGCACGAAUAAGUUCUAUACCUAUCCAGGUGCACGUAUUU